rnacentral:rRNA from 1 species
GGAGUAUGGGCCGUGUCUCAGUCCCAUUGUGGCUGAUCAUCCUCUCAAACCAGCUACUGAUCGUCGCCUUGGUGGUCCAUUACACCGCCAACUAGCUAAUCAGAUGCAGACUCAUCCCAGAGCACCGGAGUUUUCACGAAUAGCAUCUCAGCUACGCGCAUAUGAGGUAUUAGCAGUCGUUUCCAACUGUUGUCCCUCUCUCUAGGGCAGAUUCUCUACAUUUUACUCACCCGUCCGCCACUUUCCUCUCUAGCAAGCUAGAGAUUCUCGUUCGACUUGCAUGUAUGAAGCACGCCGCCAGCGUCGUCCUCGUAGCCAGGAGUCAAACUACU